AUUGAACGCUGGCGGCAUACCUUACACAUGCAAGUCGAACGGCAGCACGGGAGCAAUCCUGGUGGCGAGUGGCGAACGGGUGAGUAAAGUAUCGGAACGUGCCCAGUCGAGGGGGAUAACGUAGCGAAAGUUACGCUAAUAACGCAUACGAUCUAUUGAUGAAAGCGGGGGAUCGCAACACCUCGCGCGAUUGGAGCGGCCGAUAUCAGAUUAGGUAGUUGGUGGGGUAAAGGCUCACCAAGCCGACGAUCUGUAGCUGGUCUGAGAGGACGACCAGCCACACUGGGACUGAGACACGGCCCAGACUCCUACGGGAGGCAGCAGUGGGGAAUUUUGGACAAUGGGCGAAAGCCUGUUCCAGCCAUGCCGCGUGCAGGAUGAAGGCCUUCGGGUUGUAACUGCUUUUGUACGGAACGAAAAGGUUUGGCCUAAUAAGCUGAGCUCAUGACGGUACCGUAAGAAUAAGCACCGGCUAACUACGUGCCAGCCGCCGCCGUAA
rnacentral:rRNA from 1 species